UCCAGAACUAAUAAUGGCUAAUGCACUAAAUUACAGAUGAUUCCCACUUGAGAGGGAACAAAAUGUCAUUUUCUACAUUCUCCGCAUGAUCUACACAACCAAUGAAUGUCAAAAUUUGGAAAUCAAUCAAACAUAUUAAUAACCACACACAAAAGCUGCCCUGUGGAAAAGAAGGAGCUUCAAGGCAGAAACAAGAUGAUUCCAAGCAGUUGAGUUGCAGCAACUUCAUGGCUUUGAUGGGGUAGGAGAAGAGGGAGGUUUCAAAUCCGGGUACUGCAUCAGGAGCAAGAGGUUAGUGCUCUGUUUCAAAUGUGUCGUUUAUCUAUGCACAAAUUGCAGCAAUUAACAUGAUAUUUCUGACUGUAUUAUAAGCAAAUGACACCUUCAUUAAGUUCAGAGACAAUGCUAAUCAGAACAGCAGCAAUUACUAUUCUACUAAUCUAGAUGUAAAGAUAUAUUGUCAAUCUAACCUGCUUUGCGAAGGUGCUUUUCACAAAAUUUGGUCGUUAAAAUUACCCCCACCCAAGUUUUUAACCAUUUGAGGCCAAGAUAUUUUUAAAUCCACUUGAAAUUGGAUCAAAUGUAUGAACUCGUGAAAACAGCUAGAAUAUUUAUACCAAGCUCUGCAAGCCUACAAAACAUUUGACUAGCAGAGACACUAACUUUUUUUAUCCCAGACAUGAAUUAAUAUGAGUAUUGGAUAGAAACACAGACAAACACACACAAACAUGAGAAGGAGGGGAGAGAGAUGAAAGAGAGUUUACANNNUGGCUUUCUGCUGUUGAGAGAGUUGCAGAAGAGGGAGUGCCAUUCUUUUCUUCCAUCUGCCGACUAACUCCUCCAUUAAUUCCGAGUUGUAAGAUUUUAGCCUUCUUCUUCUUGGGGUACAUAUGGACAGAAGGUGGCAAAAGGGUUUCUUGUAUUUCC
rnacentral:lncRNA from 1 species